GUCCACGCCGUAAACGAUGUCUACUAGCCGUUGGGAGACUUGAUUUCUUAGUGGCGCAGCUAACGCAAUAAGUAGACCGCCUGGGGAGUACGGCCGCAAGGUUAAACUCAAAUGAAUUGACGGGGCCCGCACAAGCGGUGGAGCAUGUGGUUUAAUUCGAUGCAACGCGAAGAACCUUACCAGGUCUUGACAUCCUCGGAACUAUCCAGAGAUGGAUGGGUGCCUUCGGGAACCGAGAGACAGGUGCUGCAUGGCUGUCGU
rnacentral:rRNA from 1 species